rnacentral:rRNA from 1 species
AAAAGUGCGUAGGUGGUGUUUCUAGGCAAAUCCGGAGACACAACACUGAGACACGAGACGAAGCCACUACGGUGGUGAAGCCAUUGAUGCCCUGCUUCCAGGAAAAGCCUCUAAGCUUCAGAUUACAAGUCAUCGUACCCCAAACCGACACAGGUGGUCGGGUAGAGAAUACCAAGGCGCUUGAGAGAACUCGGGUGAAGGAACUAGGCAAAAUAGAACCGUAACUUCGGGAGAAGGUUCGCUCUUGACAGUGAAGUCCCUUGCGGAUGGAGCAGUUGGGAGUCGCAGUGACCAGAUGGCUGGGACUGUUUAUCAAAAACACAGCACUCUGCAAACACGAAAGUGGACGUAUAGGGUGUGACACCUGCCCGGUGCCGGAAGGUUAAUUGAUGGGGUUAGCGCAAGCGAAGCUCUUGAUCGAAGCCCCGGUAAACGGCGGCCGUAACAAUAACGGUCCUAAGGUAGCGAAAUUCCUUGUCGGGUAAGUUCCGACCUGCACGAAUGGUGUAACCAUGGCCAUGCUGUCUCCACCCGAGACUCAGUGAAAUCGAAUUCGCCGUGAAGAUGCGGUGUACCCGCGGCUAGACGGAAAGACCCCGUGAACCUUUACUACAGCUUGGCACUGAACAUUGAACCUACAUGUGUAGGAUAGGUGGGAGGCUUUGAAGGCGUGACGCCAGUUGCGCUGGAGCCGUCCUUGAAAUACCACCCUUGUAUGUUUGAUGUUCUAACGCAGGGCCCUGAAUCGGGCUCGCGGACAGUGCCUGGUGGGUAGUUUGACUGGGGCGGUCUCCUCCCAAAGAGUAACGGAGGAGCACGAAGGUUGGCUAAUCCUGGUCGGACAUCAGGAGGUUAGUGCAAUGGCAUAAGCCAGCUUAACUGCGAGACGGACAGGUCGAGCAGGUACGAAAGUAGGUCAUAGUGAUCCGGUGGUUCUGAAUGGAAGGGCCAUCGCUCAACGGAUAAAAGGUACUCCGGGGAUAACAGGCUGAUACCGCCCAAGAGUUCAUAUCGACGGCGGUGUUUGGCACCUCGAUGUCGGCUCAUCACAUCCUGGGGCUGAAGUCGGUCCCAAGGGUAUGGCUGUUCGCCAUUUAAAGUGGUACGCGAGCUGGGUUCAGAACGUCGUGAGACAGUUCGGUCCCUAUCUGCCGUGGGCGUUGGAUGAUUGAAGGGAGUUGCUCCUAGUACGAGAGGACCGGAGUGAACGAACCUCUGGUGUUCGGGUUGUCACGCCAGUGGCACUGCCCGGUAGCUAAGUUCGGAAUCGAUAACCGCUGAAAGCAUCUAAGCGGGAAGCGAGCCCUGAGAUGAGUCAUCCCUGACCCCUUGAGGGUCCUAAAGGGCCGUUGGAGACCACAACGUUGAUAGGUGGGGUGUGUAAGCGCAGUGAUGUGUUGAGCUAACCCAUACUAAUUACCCGUGAGGCUUAACC